AUUGAACGCUGGCGGCAGGCUUAACACAUGCAAGUCGAGCGGGGGAGGUUGCUUCGGUAACUGACCUAGCGGCGGACGGGUGAGUAAUGCUUAGGAAUCUGCCUAUUAGUGGGGGACAACAUUCCGAAAGGGAUGCUAAUACCGCAUACGCCCUACGGGGGAAAGCAGGGGAUCUUCGGACCUUGCGCUAAUAGAUGAGCCUAAGUCGGAUUAGCUAGUUGGUGGGGUAAAGGCCUACCAAGGCGACGAUCUGUAGCGGGUCUGAGAGGAUGAUCCGCCACACUGGGACUGAGACACGGCCCAGACUCCUACGGGAGGCAGCAGUGGGGAAUAUUGGACAAUGGGCGGAAGCCUGAUCCAGCCAUGCCGCGUGUGUGAAGAAGGCCUUUUGGUUGUAAAGCACUUUAAGCGAGGAGGAGGCUACUGGUACUAAUACUACUGGAUAGUGGACGUUACUCGCAGAAUAAGCACCGGCUAACUCUAUGCCAGCCGCCGCAGUAACAC
rnacentral:rRNA from 1 species